AUUCAAACUGCCAGUCCAGUCUACAACAACUGAACAAUGUGCUCAUCAUUUACCAUCUCACUCUUCCUCUCAGCUCUCUGGAGUCAGGCUUCUCUGGGGAUCAUCACAGUAGAUCAGUCUCCUGCAGUUCUCUCCGUCCAGCCUCACGACACUGUAAAGAUUCUUUGUCAAGCCUCACAGGAUAUUGGCAAUGACAUGGAGCUGUAUCAGCUUAAACCUGGACAGGCUCCUAAACAAGUAAUUCAUGACAGUGAACAAAGGGUAUCUGGUAUUCCUGAGAGAUUCAGUGGAAAACUUACAGGAGCCUUGACAACCUUCACCAUUGCAGGCGUUCAGGUGGAGGAUGAAGCUGAGUAUCACUGCCAACAAACUGAGACGCUGCCGCUCACACAGUGAAUUAACGCCGUACAAAAACCUCUCUAAGGUCUCAGGCUAUAUCUUGGUCUCAAUUAUGCCUCAGUGGAUCAAAUGCAUAACAAGAACACAUGCUUAUAUUAGCAAAUAUAAAAGGAGUAUAUCUCUAUGGCUUUUAUUAACCUAUUACACAUUAUUUCACUUAUGUGUGGGACUACACAGCAUCUGGAUUUGUAAAGAGUGUAAAAACAACAAAGCUUUGCUGAACUGAAGCAUGGAAGAAAUGAACAAACAUAGGUUUCUUAAGGUAAGGACACAUUUUUGUCAUCUAAUCUGCUUUCAGUUCAUGUAUCCAAUUUAAAUUCAAACACAUCUUUUGACUUAUAUACAUAAACUAAACAUGAUUUUUUAAGCAUAAACAACAAAGAUAUGUUUAUAAAAAAGAGUCUGAUAGGAAAAUGUCUUCAGAUAUAAUAUUGAAUGUAUUAUCACUGUUGGAACAAAACCUCAUA